rnacentral:lncRNA from 1 species
UCUCACACCAGAAAUAGUUUGGGAGCAACUAACAGAAAAGUUUUCCUAUCUCCUAGUGAUGCAACGUUACAGUGACAGUCACUGGAGUGUCUGAGCUGAAGGCCAAUCAAUUACAGAAAGCAGAGCAUUUUCUGUUCAAACUCUGGUGUUUCUCCCCAUGUGCUCAGUCAUCCUUUGGAAGGCAAUCUCUUUACCCAGGCCUAUGAACAGGCUUUCCUGGAAGGUGCAUUUCCCAGUUCUAGUAUCUGACGCUUUGACCCUAAAAUGCUGAGCACCUACUACCUGCUUGACGUGUGGAUGCCUUGCUUGUCCUUUAGAAAACUGAAGGAUAGAAGAUUUUCAACAUCUCUUGAUGAAUCCUUUGGACAAUUCUGGAAAUGUUUUUCUCAAAGACAGGGUCGAGCUCUAAUGUCUCUCAGAAGCCUCUAU